UUUACAGCCAGUAUCCAGUACAAAUAUUGGAGCAUAUUAUAAUUCCUGCGCCGCUACCACCGUCAAAUACUCAAACGCAGCCGCCAGAAAUGGUAGCUUUACAUCCACAAUCCGCGAUGGGUGCAUCAAUUUCCAAAUAAUCCAGCUCAACAACAACCAAAUUUACCACUACCUGUAAAUAACGGCGGCAACAAUCACUUUCAUGCCCCGUUGCCUAGGGGGGAAAAAGAUAUGCAAUUACUAAAAGAAUUUAUAAAAACGUCUUCAGCCGCCAUCGACCAAGAAGCGGCGCCACCACCACCACCGUCGCCAUCUGAUGAACCGCCCAGAUGGCACGAGCCGUCUACACCCCCCAAGAGCUGGCGAGGGUUAUCCAUGGGGUGUCUGAAGAAGAUGCUGACAAUUUUCCAGGCCAGACAAAGAAAUUCCCAACUCCAGACGGAGCGUUUUGAACGGGAAUUGACUGCAUCACGGCUUCAAGAUGAAAACCUGCAUCGAGAGAUGAAAUUUAUUAUACUAAUUUUUCUUUUUAAA